rnacentral:rRNA from 1 species
CGUGGCGGACGGGUGAGUAACGCGUGAGGAACCUGCCUCAAAGAGGGGGACAACAGUUGGAAACGACUGCUAAUACCGCAUAAGCCCACGGGUCGGCAUCGACCAGAGGGAAAAGGAGCAAUCCGCUUUGAGAUGGCCUCGCGUCCGAUUAGCUAGUUGGUGAGGUAAUGGCCCACCAAGGCAACGAUCGGUAGCCGGACUGAGAGGUUGAACGGCCACAUUGGGACUGAGACACGACCCAA